CCGAAUGAAGGAACAAAGACCAAGUGAGAAGGCUUUUGCCCUUGACCUUUGGCCUUUUCUUUUCUUCUUGUUUGGGUUACAGAUGUGAUCCCUGGAGGUGAGUGGCUAUCUUGUGAAGCAUUGCAGAUGAUGGGGCAGGAAGACGGAACUAUCCUGGGGUGCCUCUUUCCAUGGUCAUUGUCACAUGAGUAAGUUGUCUAGAAGAGGUCACGUUGGCUUGGAUUAAGGUGGUGACGAGGGCUGUAUUAGUCCAUUUUCAUGCUGCUAGUAAAGACAUACCCAAGACUGGGUAAUUUAUGAAGAAAAAGAGGUUUAAUGGGCUCACAGUUCCACGUAGCUGGGGAGGCCUCACAAUCAUCAGGGCGAAGGAAGAACCAAGGUGCGUCUUACAUGGCACCAGACGAAGACAGUGAAAGGGGUUUCCACUUAUAAAACCAUGAGAUCUCAUGAGACUUUUUCACUACCACGAGAACAGUAUGGGGGAAACCGCCCCCAUGAUUCAACUAUCUCCCAUUGGGUCCCUCCCAUAACACGUGAAAAUUAUAGGAGCUACAAUUCAAGAUGAGAUUUGGGUGGAGACACAGCCAAACCAUAUCAAGGGGGAUGGAUGGAGAAGAGCAGAUGGAUUGGAGGUUGUGGAGGACAGCCGCCUGGCCUUGCUGGUGAUGAGGACAACAGGACCAAAGGAACGUUUGAGCCAUUUAUUCAAAUCAUGCUGCUAGCUAAUGGCAAAGGGAACAGAAAACACAAAGAAAAUCACCCAUAAGGCCGGGCACAGUGGCUCACACCUGUAAUCCUAGCACUUUGGGAGGCCGAGGUGGGCAGAUCACGAAGUCAGAAGUUCGAGACCAGCCUGGCCAACAUAGUGAACCCUCAUCUCUACUAAAAAUACAAAAAAUUAGCCGGGCAUGGUGGUGGCGCCUGUAAUCCCAGCUACUCGGGAGGCUGAGGCAGGAGAAUGGCUUGAACCCAGGAGGCGGAGGUUGCAGUGAGCCAAGAUCACGCCAUUGCACUCCAGCCUGGGCGACAGAGUGAGACUCCGUCUCAAAAAAAAAAAAAAAAGAAGAAGAAGAAAAUCACCCAUAAUGCUACCUAUCAAAAUAAUCAGGAUGUAAAGUAUUUUUCCAUGUAUAAAUAGUAUCAUUAGUAAAUAGUAUCAGAAUCCAUAAACUGUUUUAAAGCCUGUUUAUUUCCAUUAAAUAUAUGAUGUAUAUUUUCCCAUGCUAAUAAAUAACCUUACAA
rnacentral:lncRNA from 1 species